rnacentral:rRNA from 1 species
GACGAACGCUGGCGGCGUGCUUAAUACAUGCAAGUCGAGCGAGAAGCCACCGCUCCGUAAGGAGUGGUGGUGGAAAGCGGCGAACGGGUGAGUAACACGUGGGUAACGUGCCCCGAACACUGGGAUAACGGCGGGAAACCGCCGCUAAUACCGGAUAACCCUGCAGCGUCGCACGCUGCAGCAGGCAAAGGUCCCGCGGUUCGGGGUCGGCCCGCGGCGUAUCAGCUUGUUGGUGGGGUAACGGCCUACCAAGGCAGUGACGCGUAGCUGGCGUGAGAGCGCGACCAGCCACACUGGGACUGAGACACGGCCCAGACUCCUACGGGAGGCAGCAGUAGGGAAUCUUGCGCAAUGGGCGAAAGCCUGACGCAGCGACGCCGCGUGAGGGAUGAAGGCCUUCGGGUUGUAAACCUCUUUCAGCGGGGACGAAGCCUCACGGUGACGGUACCCGCAGAAGAAGGUCCGGCCAACUACGUGCCAGCCGCCGCAGUAA